rnacentral:rRNA from 1 species
GAGGAACGCUGGCGGCGUGCCUAAUACAUGCAAGUCGAGCGAACAGACGAGGAGCUUGCUCCUCUGACGUUAGCGGCGGACGGGUGAGUAACACGUGGAUAACCUACCUAUAAGACUGGGAUAACUUCGGGAAACCGGAGCUAAUACCGGAUAAUAUAUUGAACCGCAUGGUUCAAUAGUGAAAGACGGUUUUGCUGUCACUUAUAGAUGGAUCCGCGCCGCAUUAGCUAGUUGGUAAGGUAACGGCUUACCAAGGCAACGAUGCGUAGCCGACCUGAGAGGGUGAUCGGCCACACUGGAACUGAGACACGGUCCAGACUCCUACGGGAGGCAGCAGUAGGGAAUCUUCCGCAAUGGGCGAAAGCUUGACGGAGCAACGCCGCGUGAGUGAUGAAGGUCUUCGGAUCGUAAAACUCUGUUAUUAGGGAAGAACAAAUGUGUAAGUAACUAUGCACGUCUUGACGGUACCUAAUCAGAAAGCCACGGCUAACUACGUG